UACGUAGGGUGCGAGCGUUAAUCGGAAUUACUGGGCGUAAAGUGUGCGCAGGCGGCCGCGCAAGUCGAGUGUGAAAGCCCCGGGCUUAACUUGGGAAUUGCGCUCGAAACUACGUGGCUGGAGUGUGGCAGAGGAAGGUGGAAUUCCACGUGUAGCGGUGAAAUGCGUAGAGAUGUGGAGGAACACCGAUGGCGAAGGCAGCCUUCUGGGCCAACACUGACGCUCAUGCACGAAAGCGUGGGAGCAAACAGG
rnacentral:rRNA from 1 species